rnacentral:lncRNA from 1 species
UCCGGACAUCGGAUCCCAUUGCUAGAUGGUUACAUCGAUUAGUAUAAAAAGUUAUUCCUAUACUACCGCCUUAGGUUCAAACUGUAGAGUCACAUACAUUAGAAGAUUCGAUCAAAUCUGAUGGCUGAAGAGUCCAAUUGGAUUGCGACUCUGGUGAGGAGUCUCACUAGGACUAGGACUCUGGAGGAGAGUCCCACUGGACUGGGAC